GGAGAGGUGGCAGAGCGGUUGAAUGCGGCGGUCUCGAAAACCGUUGUCCGCCUUGUGCGGACCCAGGGUUCAAAUCCCUGCCUCUCCGCUA
rnacentral:tRNA from 1 species